rnacentral:misc_RNA from 1 species
AAAACAGCAAUUACACAUCCACACGUCCAUGUAUUGUGUAUUUAGUAAACACAGAUAUAUACAUUGUUUGAGCAUUUCAACCGAGGAAAAUAUCUAGUCAAAGGAUCAGUCAAUAAUAUCUAUGGGGAUGACAAAAUGACUAAGUGUAAUGGACAUGAGCAUUAUAACUUGCCCAACCUCGAAAUUGCAUGACAAUAUGCAGCUUCAAUCCAAGUGGGAGGGAUGGGCUUGCAUUAUGGUUGUCCUAGAAAUGUUAAAUGGCCAUUUCUACUGACUUCUUUAUUGCAGAAGACAUAACUGGAUAUGCGACUAUGACUGAAAUGUAGUGUGUCCAUCUAUUUAGGUGCUAGCGUUAUUGGGCAGAUUGAGAAUGCAACACAUCGAGCAGCUUUUGCCAGCAUGAACCGCUCAUUUUCUGUCAAUGGCCUCUCA